ensembl:lncRNA
GUAAAUAUGUUCUAUAGCUACUGAAUAAACUAUUAAAUCUAAAACAUUGAUUAAUGUGUACUUUAAAAUAUAUUUUGCACUUAAAAUUAAAAAAAAUACUUUUGUUAGUGGUCUAUUUUACUUUUGGAAUGAAAAAGAGAAAAAGAUUCUAUGGUGUUGAAGUAGAAUAAUAUUUGUUACUUCUAUCUUAAUAUUAUUCUCAUCUUCCUAUUUUUAGCAACUGAAGUUUAAAUAUGCAUUUUAUUUUCUUUAUUUUUUUUAGAAGCUGUCUCUAAGCAAGAUGCUGCCAAAUAAAAGGAAAUUUAGUGUUUGAACUUUUAGUCACAACAGUAAGGCACAUAUGAGAUUGCAUACUAUACUUGAGAAAAGUUUAAACAGAAAAAUGUACCUCUAUUCUCAGAAAAAAAAAAAAAUAGUAUCUAUAAGUUUAUAAGUUUAAAUGUUAGCUCUGAAGAUUUUAAUUAAAAAAUACUAAUCUUCAACAAAUAACUUUUAUAAAUUAUAAUGACUUUAAAUGUAUUUUUAUAUUGAGACACAAAAUGAUACAUUAUUCAGAUUUUUCAAGAUCUACAGUAUGGUAGAAAUGAUUCACUACUGCUUCUUUUUGCCUUAUUGUAUGCAAACUGUUACAUAUGUUAUAUUAAAAAAUUGUUAAAUGUAGAGACAGAAACUCAAGCUGUUUUAUAAUAUCAUAGAGUGCAGGUGAAUGCUUUAUAAAGAGAGCAUGACUGAAAUAAAGUUUAUUCAUUCAGUGGUAGGUUGAACAUUUAAAGAGAAAUGUUUUAUCUCAGAUUUGUACCAAGCAUCAAGGACUGUCUCUACAAAUCUCCUCUGAGAGAAGCUUUGCUAGGUUUAGAUGCAAUAAACAUAAUGUUUCAAAAUCACAAUAUGACAAUGUUAUAAUUUGUAUGCUCAGUGUAAAUAGCUUCUAGACUGGAACUUCACUCUGUAUUCAAAAGUUUAAAGCCAAUUUUUCUGCUGAAGACUGGGAAAAUCUCUAUGGGAAGAAAAAAACGCACAAGAACAAAAACAUUGUCUACAGUAAUAUGUCUUCAUUUCUUUAAAUAAAAUAGCUUGGUGGUUUUCAACUUCUAGUUAUACCUCUAAAGACCUUACUACUACUUCUCUAGGGACAGUAGUGUCACUGAUUUGCUUUCCUAACCUAUCUUGACUCCUUUGCUACAGUAAGCUUUCUUAACCAUUUCAAGUGAUUCUUCAGUUGCCAAAAUGCCAUGUUAUGCAAAUUCCUGUAGAUAUUUACUUCAAAAUUAAAAGGUUAAAAUCUUCUAGGAGUACUGGCUGUAAGUUUGUGUGAUACAGUGAUAGAAAUGGUAGGGGAUGUGGGAGGAUUGAAACCUCCAGCUGUAUCUGAUCAAAUGUGUGAUGAAAUACAACACUUGAUAGAGCAGGAAUUUUGCAAAAGUGAAAUGAGUUUCUCUGUUCUUCAAAUAGAAAGCCAAAUGAUAAACACUACAAGACUUUGAGACACAUUUCUUUCUUUCUUUCUUUCUUUUUUUUUAUGAUUUCAUAGUAUACAUUUUGUGAAUAAAUAAAAACUUGGAUGAAUCUGUUAACAUACAAAAAUUCACUAAGCCACCUUUUUUUCUGUUUAUAUUUGAUUUUCUUUUUCUGCUCUAUUUUUCUAUUUCUGUUUUCACCAAACUAAUAUGUUUGUUGGCUUUGGAAGUUUGUUAAUUCAGUACAUGAGCAUAAUGUAUUUUGAGUUAGGGGAGUCUUCAGGUUACAGCUCUAUAGAUUGUCAAGAUUAUUUUUAUAGGCUCUUAGGUUAAUUUUUAUGUUUAAGUUUAUGACACUUGUUUUUUAAAAGUACUGUGAUAUUACUGCACGAUUAUAGAGAAGUAUUUGUUGAAUUAGGAAAAUUAACGCUGUAAAUUUAAAAUUUUAAUAAAGUUGAAAUUAUAAAGAUAAAAACUAAGAAACAAAAUUGAACAUUUUAGAUAUUAAAUUCCCCCUUAAAGAUAACAUUUUACUGAAUACCUGAAAACAAACAUGUUGUGCCAGACAGUAUCUGCUGUGCUCUGUUCCUUGAGAGGCAGAAAGAACAAUGGAUCUCUUUCCCCAUGGGUGUUUGGGGACAGGGAAUGUCGUAAAGGUUAUGUUCAUUUACUAUGAAGGGCACAGCACGUGUUGUAAAGUAACAUCCCUUUGGUGCUGACUUAUUCGAAGUCACAUAGUCCUGGACUUUACCUACCACCCUACUUAGUGAUUCUGGCAAAUGCAGAUGGUAUCAAGGUGAGAGCUUAGGACCUUGCAAAGAAAAAUGCAGUGAAGCAUAAAUUGGUGGAUUUAAACUACCGAGAGAGUUAAGAUUCUGCUAUAGCUGUUGUGACGCCUAUAAGGAGAAAAGUCCAUUUUUGUAUGCUUUUAUUUCCUUGUAAUGUAAAUGUACAUUAAAGGAUAUUUCUCCUGGAAGUGGUGUAAAAGGAAAGUACUGAAGAGCAUUUAAAAAACAAUAAAACUAGCAUUAUUUGUGCUAGUUUACAAAAAUAUUUUUUUAUAAAAUAGAAUAAAAAUAUUUUACUAACUGUACUGGAUUCUCAAAAUGCAUGUAUUCCAGGUAUAACCAAAAUUUGUAAGUAGUCACAAGCUAUGUUUGCUAUAUACUUAUUCUGGAUGAAAUAAACCUAAAGUUACACACACUCCCCCCCAGCCUCCAAUAUAAGCCUGUUACACUUGAAAGAUUUGUUCGGAAUGUCCAGUGGGAACCUGGAAAUCGUAAUAAUUUGUAGUAUCGAUUGUGUGAAGCUAUGCAGCUGGGGCCUCUAGUGAAUAGACAGGAAUAGACAUUUUAUUGAUUAACUUUUACAGUCAUAUUUUCAAGACUCUGCUGCAACAUAAUUUUCACUUCCCAGCUUUGUGCUGCUGCAUCAUGAAACUUGAAUUCUUCUCUCUUAACAUUUACCCACCUGAGGGAAACAGUAUGGAGUUGUCUCUUUUAAGCUGCGCUCUGCAGAAAUGCAUAACACUUGACACAGUGAAUUCUUCAAAAUUUACCCUCCGCUGUUGCAAUAAAAUGAAAAAUAUUAAGAAGUGAUAUUAGUAUCACCCAAGUUGAACUGCCCACUCCAUAUGUUAGACGCCAUUGUUUCAUACUUCCUAGUAAUUUUAUCCACCUUUUUUUUUAUUUUUAUUUUCUAAGGGGCUAAGAUUGUGGCAAAAAAAAUUGCCACCCUCCUCACACCACAGAUUCCAGCAGUGCUUAAUGGAGUUUGUCUCAUAAUUAAAUAGGUGAUUUUAUUAGUUACUGGAGAAGAAUAAGUGCUUCCCUGAAAAUGUGAACUAUGAAUUAAAAAAUACUCAUUUUUAAGAGUGACAGCCUGUGUCAAAUAAAAUUCCUUGUAAAAGUACAGAAAGGGCAGUUUUUCAUUAUAAUUAUCAAUCUAUCAUUUAACAAUGUAAAAAUAUGUACCAAAAUAGUAAACAGACUAGUCUUAGAAAGCAUUAUUUCACAUUUCUGAAGUUAUUCGUUUUCAGAAAAGAAAAAAAAAGGGGGGGGGGGGGGGGGCAUUUUGCCAUUUUGUAAAGAACUGUUGCAUAUUUUGAUUUUUUCCCAGUAUGAUUUGCAUUCUAAAUCAGAUGCCCAAGCCACUAUUCUUUCAUGCUGAUAAAAUUGCUGGUAAAAAUCUCAAUCUAUCAUUUUUUUUUUCAUCUAAUGACUGUUUCUUUGUUGUUGUUGUUGUUGUUAUUUUACAUGGUAACUUUUACUUGAAUGCUGUUUGCAAUGUAAGUUUGAUAACAGCUUUCACAAAAUAGGACAAAUAUUCACAUACAUUGCCACUGGUGCUAAUAUGAUUUAGACUUCUGUCAUUCUAUUAUUUUUCCUAGAGAUAUUUUAUUACUAGUGUCUUCUAAGUAUCUAAAUGUUUAAGAUAUUUGUGGUCAUGUUUCCUUUUGUCCUCCCGCUCAUCAGAUACAUCUCAGUGUGCACUGUAUGGAGACACCAAAGCAGAAAUACUCGCAUAGAUGACAGAAUGUUCAUCUUGUUUGCAGUUGUCUAAACUCUUACAGAAAAAAUCCUGAUUUCUCUUAAAAAAACAGAAAACUGUGUGGAGAACUUUAAGGUAAGAAUAAAAGGAUCAAAGAAAGUUGGAGAACAGGUGCUACUCAAGGCCUCAGUAUCCACUGGACCUGAAAUAACCUUGAAACAGAAUCAUUCUCGAUCAGAUGAAUAACGAGAAAAUUUGUUAAGAGUGCAUAGAAUUAUAUUUUUCUAAUGGACAAACUUCAUUGUACAGCAAUAUGAGAAAAGAAAUAUCACAUCCUCAUGACUUACUAGACCUCAGUCUUUCAAACAUAUACAGAUGUCAGCAGUUUCAUGAAGCCAAUUACUCUAUAACCAUGUGAAAAACUGUUCAUGAGUUUGCAAGAUUUAAGAUGAAGAUUGUUUUAAUAUUAAGGAUUACUCAGUAUUUUAUUUAGUAGUUGCAAUGCUUUAUUAUAGAAGUUAUGUUGUAAAUCAUGAUGAUUGUAGAAAAUAAAUGAAACAACUGAUCAUUUUACUUCAGAUUCAUUUAACACAAAUCCAAAUGAAUGUGAUUUGUGCAUGUGAGAAUGCAUGUGCAUGCUCUUGUGGUUUAGUUAAAGAAGGAAGAAAUCAUGUUCCCUCUUCUGAAUGUUUGUAGAGAUGUUUAAGUGAGAACAAAGUAGUAAGUUAGUAAGAUUUUUAUGUUCUCAGUAGAUAACUACCAUAGUAGUCAGACCACUGUGAACAGCAUGUUAGCUUCAUUGCUCAAUUUCAUGUUUAUUUUUCUAUUUUUUUUUCUAUUUGGAAAUAUGCAUGAUGAGGCUUCUUGUAGUUAUAAAACAAACAAACAAACAAAAAAACCUUUUUAUCGUGAAUUAAAGCAAUGAAAAUUUAUAAGAAAUUAGAAAAAAAUAAUUGAAAUAAUUAAGAUAUUUAUCUAUAUUAAAUAAGUUAGAUAUCAUAUAUAGCAAAAUGUUUUUCAGGAAGGGCAAUUGCAGAAAUUCACAACUAGUUUUAUUUCUUGCAUUUGACCCGAGAAGUCUGAUUUAAUUGUAGAAAAAAUAAAGGCCAGAUAGCUCCAUUACUUUACCUGUUUCACCUUUAAAAAAAAAAAAAAAAAAAAAAAAAGGAAUAUCUGAACCAUUUUAAUUGACUUAUAUUGUUUAGUGGGAUUUUAAUGCAUAAGACAUAAAUCAUAAACAUAAAAGUAUAAAAGUAUAGCUAAGAAAUGAAAUGUACAUGAACUCUUUGCUUUUUUAAAAGUACUGCAGAAUUGAAGAGUUGAAGUGAAAAUUUAUGUUUAUUGAAUUUCAUAGUACCUCUGACACAAACACAUAAAUAAAUUACUGAAAUAAUAGUAAUAAUAUAGCAGAUGACCAUCCUAGAGUAGAAUAUGAUCCUACGCAUUUAUGUCUUCCUAGGCAGUAUAGUUACUACUGGGAAAAAUUGAAUUGAUUGCAACGGAAAUAUACCUGACAGUAAGCAUUUACAGUGGCAGGCAAAAUUAUUUAAGAAAAGAGAAUAUAAAAUUAAGAAAGACAGAUGGAGUCAUAAGAGUGAAAUACAAAUAGUCUGAAUCAGGAUUGAUUUCAACAUAAUGUGGUGGAGGAAUCCCCAUUUAUUGAUCAACUUUAAAGCCCAUGCACAGCACUUAAAAAGAUAAAGUAAGCAAGGUCAGAUAAUCAAAGCAUUUAAAUAGUAAAAACAGCAACUGCCACUGUAGACUGCUAAAAUAAAUCCAUAAUACAAAUUGCUUUAGCAAAAAGUGGAUGAGUAGCUGAUCUUCCUAUUGAACUUUAUACUGUUCAGUGACCACACUGGGAAAAGGAUUGGGAGAAAUGCCUUGAAGAUCAAUAUUGAGUGAGAUGUAGCAGGGAUUCAUUCUGAACAUGAAAGAAUUACAAGUAUGAGAGUAGAGAUCUUGAAGAAAUGUCAUCAAGAAGGGACUAUUCUUUUAAAAAUAUCACACAUAUUACAAAAAAGUGACAUUAGUUGAUAUUCUAUCAUGAUCUCAGAACACUGAAAUCUUAUUAAAUCAACUAUUAUUACAAAACAUGAAAAUAACAAAAAGAAAGUGAAUAAUAUUACUAAAAAUACUUUGAAAAAAUCAGUAAAUUUUGUCUUAAAAAAAGAUUUUAAAAUAUAUUAAUUUAUUAAUUAAACUGGCACGUGCAUAUGCAAUUAACACAUUUAAGUAUUACUAUUUCCUUUUUUUUUUUUUCUAAAUAACAUUUUAGUAGAUAUUUUUAUUGCAUUAUAGAAACUGGAAGGAUCUAUUGCAAAUGCUCCAAAUUUCAAUUCCACCUAAGCCUUUACAGGCUUUUCAUUAAAAUAAAUAAAUAAAUAGAUAGAGAGAUAGAUAUGUGCUAUCACUUUCAGUUCUACAUAACUUUCAUCCAGCACUGUUUGAGACGUAUUUAUGAGGAAAAAAUCCUAGAUGUAGCAGUACUACAGUAGCUCAUUGUCUUAUAUCUAUUGAAUCAAUUGACACUUGUAUUAUAUUAUCUCAUGAGAAGUGCUGAAUUUUCAUGUACUGUUGCCCCUUAUAAAUAUAGAAUACUAGGUUUUUGUUUGUUUGUUUGUUUCAUUUCUGGUCAAUCAUCUUACUAAUAAAAAAGUAUUCUUGCCAGAAAGUUAUUACUAUCAGUGUUUGAAAAUACAGGGCUGCUCUGAAAGUAAUGCCUUUGUUUUUUUUAUGUUGGCCAACAACAUCAGACACAAAUGUGGGUGGUAUGACAGUAGAUGUUGAACUUUCCCACCAAUAUUCUGUUACGUUUUGUUGCCCUGUGACAGAUGGCAACAGAGCGGGCAGUCUGUCAACAUGACACGUGACCUGGAAGUGCAUAUGAAGUAAAUGUAUGUCAUUGAAUUCCUCCAUGUGGAAAAAAUGGCACCCACUGACAUUCACUGGCACUUGCUGAAUGUUUCUCGAGACCCAACAGUGAAUGUGAGCACAGUCAGGUGGUGGGUGGUGUUUUUCAGCAAUGGUGACAGUGUGUCACUUCCUCUGGUGCAGAUUUUUAUGAGCACAGCAUGCAGGCUAUAGUUCAUUGCAGACAAAAAUGCAUAGUUCAUCACGGUAACUAUCUUGUAAAAUAAUGUUUUGUAGCUGAGAAUUUGCUGUAUCAAGUAGUGAUCAAAUAUCAAGUAGUGUUGUUGUACUCUAUGUAUUUCUUGUAGUUUCCAUGGAAAUAGAUACAAAGAAUUAUUUUUUUAGUGACCUAGGUAUUUGUAUUUGAAACAAUAAUACACACACACACACAAUUUCGAGUAUUUCAGAAAUAUAUAUAUAAAGUAGAUAUAGUAUUCAUAUUUUCUAUGAACACCCAGUUCAGCAAAAUAUAGUAGAAAACUGAGUCCCAAAAGCAUAAAGUUUCUUCACUAUUGUAAACCUAUAGUAUACCUUCUUGUAAUGAAUAAUUAUUUACAACUAGUAUUGGCUCCAUAUUUACAGUAGGAAUUGCUGAUUACAGCAAUUUCAAUAGCAAAUUUGUGAAACAAUAUUCACAGUUGUUAGAGAAAGGUCAGCUUCUUUGCAUUCAUUAGGAACUUGGAGGACCAUUCACCGUAUUUUUCCUUUGGGGUGCUUAUAGUUAUUGAUUUGUACAUAUCUAUAGGAAAAAUUAAUUACAAUUAUUUUUCAUUUACCACUGGAGGCUGUGUAAUAAUAAUUGUAAUAACAAAGUUCAGCACAAAAAGAGGAAAAAAAAAAAAGAAAAAAGAAAAAAAAGAAGAAACAGCAAAUUAAAUAGCAAUAAUUUUAAAAAAUUAAUAUUGUUAGAUUUAACUUGUUUAAAAUAAUAUCUUCUGAAUUGCCUGAGGAAAUCUCUUAUAUAACUUCCAUUAAUAGUCACAAUGUUUUUAUUUUAAUGGAAGUGCGUAGGGCACUUACAGUGAUGUGAUAUAAGGUAUUCACAACUUUUCUCCCUAUGAGUGAUCUGUAAAGAUGCUUAUAAACUCAGAAAACAUUUAAUCACAUGCUUAAUUUUCCUUACAUAGGGAACUUAAAUCAUGUAACCAGUAUAGUUAUUAACUUCAAAAUGUGAUUUAAGUGAAAGAAUAAUCCUGGCAUAAUAAAUUAAAUUAUUUGCAUGCUUACAUUUUUACUCUAGUUCUUAAGGGUCUUUCAAGAACAAGAGCUAUAUAAAACAGAAUGGAAACAUUAUAGUCAUUGUCUCCUAACUCCUUAGGUCUGAAAAAUGUGAGUAAUGCCUCCAGAAAAGCUUAAAUGGGAAUCACGCCAAGAAUGUGGGACCAGGAAAGUCAAAUUGUCAGACUGAGACAAAACUUUGUGGAAAUGGAAGAAGAAGUAAAGAACUUAAGACUUACACACAGCAAUGAUGCUCAGAUGGAUAGAAAAUUGUCUUUGGUAGCAGCAAAGAUUAAAAAAAUAGUAUCACUUAAAUAAAUACAUGUGAAGAAGCCAAAUUUGUAACAAAAAGGAAACCAGUAAAUGAAUUCACAAAAGCCAGCUACUACAUAGCAAAUCUCUGUAUAAAUGGGCUGAGAGUAUGUACCAAGAAGAAGGCAAGUAUCUAUUCUUUUUCAAUGGGAAAAACAAAAAACAAAAAACAAACAAACAAAAAAGCUAUUUCAUCCUUACUUUGGGAAAAAGGCACACAAAACCAAAGCAAAAAAUGCCUCACUGACUGCAUCUGUCCAUUCUGUACUGUAAUUUGUUUCCCGCUAUGAAGAUUUAGGUUAAAUUCAUUUCUAUUAUUAAAGACAAAUAAGCUGCAAAAGAACUAAUUCUCUGUCUCCAUCUUUUACAUGUAUAUUUAUUCAUAUGAAUGCACUUUUGUUCAUUUAUUUUUACUUCUACCUUGACAAAGCUGUGCAAAAAAUAACAUAGUUUGAUUACUCAUAAUUUGCAUUUGUGUAAUUAAUAGGGAUGAAAAGGAUUAAAAUCAAUGGAGAAAUAUUUAUUUGUUUAAAUUGGAUAACUAUGGAAAAACUAUUUGGCAGGAAUGAAAGCUUUUCCAUCUAAAUUACGUCAUAUAAUUUAAACUGUUUUAGUUUUUAAGCUUAAAAAGCAUGAAAAUCACAAAGCAGAACUGGAAGAAGACACAGAAAAAUACUGCCAUGUAAAGGAAGAGCCUUCAGAACAAGGGUCUCAGCUCAAAAUUAGCUAGCUGGUCCAUUCUGGAGUGGGAAAACUGAUAAAAUGCCGCAGUACUCAGGUAAUACCCUUGAUACAAUAUGUGGAAGGGAGACAGUGUUUGAAGUAAUAUCAGUGAAUGUAUCAGAGUACUCUCAGAGAAUUUUUCCAACGGAUAAGGAAAUAUUAUUUAAAUAAUACUAACUGUAAAAUUCACUCAUGAGUGAUUGAGAAAACAUGAGAAAUAUUGUUGAAAAUAUCAAGUCAAUAUAACAGCAGCAUUUCUUCUUUUAAAAGUGUUGUGGGUGGGAUUCACCUUGUUGAACUGGAGGUAGGAAUAUUUGAAAUAGAUGUCUAAGUUCCAUUGCUGUCAUUGGAGACUUAAUCAACUCAGUGAGUGAAAUCAAGGGCUAUCAAUACCUUUCAUUACCCAAAGUGAACCUACAGAAAAGCUGGAGAGUGACUCUUUAUCAGGUAGCAUAGUCAUAGGACAAGGGAUAGUUGCCUUCAACUAAACUAGAUUAGAUAUUAGAAAGAAAUUCUUCACUAUGAGGACAGUGAGAUACUGAAAUAAAUUGUCCAUAGAAACUGUGGAUGCUCCAUCUCUGGGAGCAUUCAAACGUAGGUUGAGUGAAGCCCUUGGCAACUUGAUCUCAUGGAAGGUGACUGUGCUAUGGCAGGGAAUUAGAACUAGAUGAAUUUAAGUUCUCUUCCAAACCAUUUUAUGAUUCUAUGACUAAAUAUUGAUCCAAUCAAUAUUAAGGUUUUCAGAGGAGCUGAAAAUCAAUCCCAGUGACAAUAUUAUUCAUUGUGAUAGAACACAUUCACACACCGUAAUGCAGACAUCCAAAUUUGGGUAAGAAUAAUCAGAUUAGAAAAGUUAGCCUUUUUGCAGCAAUUCAUUAUAUAAUACGGAAUUAUUUUAUUUAUUUUUGUUACUAAUAAGAGUACUAGAUGUUUCACAAGCAUAGAUACUGGUCAAUUAUCUGAGCAAUAUCCAAUAUAUAAAUACACAAAGUUAGAAGGAAAUGAUCAAUGCCAGAGAGAAAUAAAAGUUAAAAUAAUACAUGCUUUUUCUUCUGUGUCUGAGAGAAUGUGAGUAGAUGUGAAAGUUGGAAAACCAAAAGAAUUAGUAGUAUGACAACAUUCCUUUUCUACCCUAGCAUUGUCAAAAGAUAACAAGAUUAAUUCUCUGCUGUAGUAUUUCACUACAGUAGUGUGUUAAUUUGAGGGGCUUGGCUGAGCCUUAUUCAGCAUAUAAUUAGAAUUUACUGAACUUUAAUUUCUUAUCAUCUUUAGGCUGCAUUAUCAAAGUGUUUAUAUUGAAACAUUCAAAUGUUCAGUUAAAAAUAAACUUCAGUUUGUCAAGGAUACAUUGUAUACAAAUUCUGUGGAAAUAUUUGAAUAAAAUUGUUCACUUUUGCUUUGUGAGAAAUGCUUUGCACUUUACAUAUUUAUAACAUAAUGUCAUUAGAGUAUGUAUCUUAGAAAUAUAGCAAUUUCCUGGUGAAUUUAUUGAAUAAAUGCUUAUCUAAUAAGUAAUUUGAGAGUAGAGAAAGAUCUAAUGAAAAGCUAAAUACACAGUGAAAUCCUAAUCAAGCAAUUGAAAUAGUUACUCAUGAUAAAACUAAGAUUAUCAGAGUAUCAGAACACAAAUUACUCCAUUAAUCUUUUGAAUUAGUCAGUUCUUAUUUUCUGAAGCUAAGUAACUUGAGAAGGUACACUCAAGGUUUCAUCUUUCUGAAGACUGUAUUUAUUACCUUUACUUUCAUAAAGAGUUCAUUAGAAAGAAUAUUACAGUGAAAUACGUUAACUUUUUAGCCUGUUUUAAUGAAGUCAUGUGAGUCUUUAAUUAUCUGACAUAAAACUGCUUAGUUUUACGUAGUAUCUACAGAUACUAAUUAGUAUCUACAUAUAUACAUUAGUAUCUACAUCAAUUAGUAUCUACAGAUAUUAACGGAUUCAUAUGUCAUAAAGCCAGAAGAAACGCUGUUAUUGAAUCUUAUAUGUGGCACAAUGCAGGCCACAGGACUUCACUGAAUUGAGUAGUUGUAAGAGAUUAUUCUUUUAUAUGAUUGACUCAAAGUUUGCUGAGGAACAAGUCCAGGCAAGUCCUGGGCAAAGGUACAGAAAUCUUCUGUCUGGAGGACACUGAUGGACAGGUCCUGGCUAAAGGAUUGUGAAGUCCUUUAAGGAGCACAGAUGGACGAGGCCAGGGGCAACGAGAGAGGGAUAAGCUGCUGAUAAUGGCUGAGAAAUGGUCUUUUGUGUGGACUUAUCUAGAAGAAGAUGGCCAUCUCAGGAGCUACGCACAUGACUCUUGCUCAAGCACCCAGGGAUGUCACGUAGGCAGGAAAAAGAGGAGGAUAAAAGAGGGUCUAACAACCAUGAGGAGAGGGUUUCUGCCAUCAGAUCCCUCACCACGACGGACUCAAGGUUUCUGCCAUCAGAUCCUUCACUACGGACCAUAUGCUGAUGGACUUCCCUGGGCCUGCUACCUGAGACCUGCUGCUUCCUCCCAGACUUACUCUGCGGCUUCUUCCUGGACCCACCCGGUACCUGCACCCUCUCGUUGCCCAAGACCGGCCUCGCUGCUCCUGCCCUUCAGCCUCGGACCAUCAGAACAUCGUGCAACAGGACUACUGCUGGUGGUGACUAUCCCCGCUUUAUGCAAUUCUUGCUUCUUUCUAUCUUUUCUAUCGCUCGCCUUCCCUUUCCCAUCACCCCAAUCCAUAAUAGUGUCCGUCCUCCCCUUUCUUCAUCUCCCUUAUUAACAUAUGUAAUAAACUGGUCGGACCAACAUUUGAACCGUUGUUUCUUAAUCUCACGCCGGGCAUACAUAUUUCAAAGAACCUCCUCUCCCUCCUAUAAAUUGGAGUGAGACAGUAGUACAUUAUGUCUAAGUAAAUGUGAUUAAAAUGGAGUAUAUUAAAAUGGAGCAUACAUUUUUAAUACAUUCUUGACUUUAAAUAUACACAAUGUUAGAGAAUUCAUUACGGUCUUUCACAGGUUGCCUCAAUAGUUAGUAAAACAUAUAGCAUGCUGACUGUUCAUCAUUUUAUCAUCUUUCUUGGAAUGUUAUACAAAUCUCAACAUAUAUAAAAAUAGUUUUUAUGUCAUCUUUAUCAAUAACAUUUGAAAUAUCAUAAAACUGAAAGAGCAGAUAGUUUUACAAGAUGUGUUUACAGUAAAUCCACAGUAACUUUGGUUAUUAUAUUAAUGCACAUUUGUUAUAUGUAUCUACAGCUAACACAAAUUACUGUGGAAUUAUGAUAUUAGCUGUCCUGAUAUUUUGCUUGAAAGAGAUAACUACCCUCCUUGAAUUACUUGAAUCACCCUCUUAAAACCUAAGAAAUAUUAGCACAGAAUUAACAGAUAAAUUAACCUGUACUGUUUUGGAAGUUUUUAAGGUUGUCAAGACCAAACACUGUAAAUAUGGCCUAGAAAUUCUUUUCAAAAGCACUUCAAAAGCACUU